rnacentral:rRNA from 1 species
AGCGAACGCUGGCGGUAGGCCUAACACAUGCAAGUCGAACGGCAGCACAGUAAGAGCUUGCUCUUACGGGUGGCGAGUGGCGGACGGGUGAGGAAUACAUCGGAAUCUACUUUUUCGUGGGGGAUAACGUAGGGAAACUUACGCUAAUACCGCAUACGACCUACGGGUGAAAGCAGGGGAUCUUCGGACCUUGCGCGAUUGAAUGAGCCGAUGUCGGAUUAGCUAGUUGGCGGGGUAAAGGCCCACCAGGGCGACGAUCCGUAGCUGGUCUGAGAGGAUGAUCAGCCACACUGGAACUGAGACACGGUCCAGACUCCUACGGGAGGCAGCAGUGGGGAAUAUUGGACAAUGGGCGCAAGCCUGAUCCAGCCAUACCGCGUGGGUGAAGAAGGCCUUCGGGUUGUAAAGCCCUUUUGUUGGGAAAGAAAAGCAGCAGGUUAAUACCCCGCUGUUCUGACGGUACCCAAAGAAUAAGCACCGGCUAACUUCGUG